AAUCUAAUGGAGUUCUUUUGGUAUGAGAGGUCAUGGAAUUUAUUGACAAUUGGAAGAAUCAUCGAUGAAUGGGAGCCUUUUCGUUUCUAUCGCUAGUAUCUAGUGCCAGGGAUGGAUCUUGCUGCUUGCCCCUUGGCUGUGCGCUCCUGGUGGAAUUGCUCGUGAUCUGGCGAAUUCGCGGAGGAGGAAGGCGAGUCGUGAUGGAAGUGAUGGACUCGAGCCUCGUAGAUCGCUGCAGUGGCCGUGGCAGCCGCCAUAGUUGCCAUAGAUUUGAAGUAAGCCAUAGAUCCUGUAAUCUAUAGCAUAGAAUUGACGCGAAUUGGAGGAGAGGGUCUGGAUGCUAGCGCUACUAGUUACCGGAUUGAUCGAUCGAUCGAUCGAAUGAGGGAGCGGAGGUGGGAGGGGAUGAGAUCGCAGAGCACAGGCUGUGCCACCAGACGAGGAAUGGUACUUUUAUUGCGUCAAUCGAAAGCGAGAACACACGCCUGGCGGCGAAUCUAUGCAAGCCACGUGUCUUUGCGCGUACGUGGCGAGAUUCCAGUCCCCUUGACGCGCCAGUUUUUUCUAGAAAUUCCUUCUCCAAAAGCGUCUUGAUUGGAUUUUUCCCUAUCAAACUUCUCGAGGAUUUGAUUGAGAGUGAUCAGCAUCAAUUGGAUUGGAUCAUCCAGGAACCUCUUGUGAGUUUCUGCUCUAUGCUGGUUUUAUCCCUGGAUUGAGAUAGUUAAUCCUUACCUCAAAACCAAAUUUUAAGAAUGGUUGUACAAGUGAUUGGUGUGUGGCUUGCUGCUUGGAUCAUUUCUGGGGGAUUUUGCUUUGUAAGCGAAUUCAAUAUAACCAAUAGUCAUGUAGAACAGUGUGUCCCUGGAAAGAGUGAAAUUUCUUAGUUUUGAAGUGUGGCGGGACUAGAUUCUUAGAUGCUGGCAAAAAAUUCUCUCCAUAAUUUAUAUGGAUCUAUGCUUAGAUCUUAUGUAAAUUCAGUACUAGCAAACAUAAUAUGCGAUUCCCACUGGCAAAGGUUUUGUACCGGUGUGAUAUCACGGUUUGAAGAAUCUUUACUGAUCGUGAUCGCGUCAACUUUCUCAAAUUGAGACAUGCAUGUUUGAAUUUUACAAAUGGAAAUCCGGACACAUAAACACUCUCUCGUAUUCCUUGUGUCCUUGAAUUGGAAUCAUGAACAUGAUAGCGUUCCUCAUUAAAUAUAAUUCCAGGCUGCGAAUCCCCGGGAGACGGCUUAAUCAGAAUUUCACGAGUAAUGUCGGUGGAAAGCAUGAUUAUCCAUCUGAGCUGGAAACAAGCAUGAUCCACGUACUUAUCGUGAUGGAGCUGGUUUUGUGACUACCUACCUGUAGUCGUCGCCACAAUCACCAGCGAUCGAGUGGAGGAUCCCUGCAAAUCGGAACCCCCCCCCCCCCUGCAAGUUGUGCUCGCCAAUGCUCUCAGCGCCGAUGAUCACGCUGGCAACUCCUGGCUUGACCGCACGGAAACUGUACUUCGUGCCUAUCGCUUUGCAAACUCCUGAUCACGAGAGCUCGAACGCAAUGGUGGUGUAGGUCAAGACACUAAUCUCCGAAUCGAUGAUUGUUUCUACAACUCUCAAGGCACUAGCCAAGAUUGCAUGGACAGAUAUGGUUUUGUCUCAUAGAGAGCAAUGUAUGGUCAAGAGGUUUUAUUGGAUGGAAUAAAAAAGUGUAGCAAUCUAUCUGCAGCUUGUAAGCUUCACAAUGAGAUCAAGCACCUCCUUGCGGCAGGAGAUUGUUUGGCAUCCAAUUUUCUGGUGCAAAUGUAUGGGAGGUGUGGAUGCCCUGAGGCGGCAUGGCAAGUAUCUAGAUCGAGGAGUGGAAUGCCAUGCCACAUCAAACAGCCAUCUUGACCAAGCAAAGCAGUUAUUUGAUCGAAUGGGAGCUUGCUUCAUGGUCGAUCAUGAUCACUGCGUUCUCUCGGCAUGGCUUACUCCUGUUUUUUAUUCCUCCUAUUAUUUAUUUUAUUUUAUUUAGAGAGAGAGAGAGAGAGAGGCCGGAAUGCAAUGAUAGUCUGCCACAAACGGGCAUUUGGAUAAAGAAAUGCAUCUUUGAGCUUAUGCCGGAAAGGAGCUAAUCUCUUAGACCACAAUUCUAUCAAAGACCACCAACAUAUGCCAAUUAAGGACUCUGUUUAUGUCGAGAGAUCUUGUUUCUUGGAAAUUGCUCCUCUGUCGUUCACGCCCAGUGCUUUGGCCACCCUCAUAAGGAUUUGGUUGCGUCCACUGCUUUGCUUGUUAUCUUGGCGGAAAGUGGCUGCUUCACGAGUCCAUGGAGUGUUGUCUUGUGCUGUGCUUACGCAUAUCAUGACGACAGUAGGCUGAGCAGAAUUUUUACAGCAUACAGCGUUUGCUUGCACUGCAAUGCUGCGCUUGUAUUCUCAAGAACGGACUCAGCCAUAUAUUUAGGUCUGCCUGAUCAAGGCGAGCAUUUAGUCCGAAAGAAUCUCUUUGAUGCGAGACGAGACCGCCAUACCAUCGAAACAAUGCCGAUCACAGCGUGAUACCAGAUUGUGCCCGAAAUGGACGUAUGCUUUUUGCGAAGAGAAUCUUUGACAACUCCAAUGUUUUUGAAUAUUUUUGUUCAUCGAUAAGAAUAUUUAUCUACUUCAUCACCGAAUCCUAUGUGGACUACAUGGCAAAGAAUUUCGUCUCCAUAAAGGUUGAUUGGAUUUUCCCUUUCUCAGCACUUCAAAAAACUAAUUUUUAGAAUGGGUGUGCGAUUGAUAGUUUCCAUUGUUGCGCUUGCGGCUUUGAUCAUUCCUAAAACAUUUGGGUGUGGGGAUUUCUCACUUACUUGUAAUAUAGUUGAAUUCAACUUAACCACUAUUCAUUUAGAAUGGUGUCUCCCUGGAAAAUCUGAGAUUUAUUUGGUCUUGGACAAUCACAUCCACAAUGAUAAUGGGAAUUUAAAGUGUGGCGGGGCAAAUUUCUUAGAGACAUGCACGCCCACAGGUUGCAUGCACAACAAUGAAAACAUCCCAAAGUUGGUCUACUAUGCGACGUGCAAAGACAACAGUGGUGCGGAUCAUGAAACUAAUCUCCGAAUUGAUGAUUGUGUCUACAACAACCAAGGAACCAUCCAAGAUUGUGCAUGAUUAUAUGGUUUUUUCUUACAGAGAACCAUGUUAGCACCAGAUUGUCGAGAGCUUUUGUUGGAUGCAAUAAAGAAGUGUACCAAUCUGUCCACAGCUUCCAAGCUCCACAAUGAGAUUGAGCACCUCCUCGUGGCAGAAGACUGCUUGGCAUGCAAUUUGGUGGUGCAAAUGUAUGGGAGGUGUGGAUGCCCAGAGGCAGCAUGGCAAAUCUUUCGUGGCUCUACAUCACGGAAUCGAUUCUCGUGGAAUGCUAUGCUCUCUGCCUUCGCAUCAAACAGCUAUCUUGACCAAGCAAAGCAGUUGUUUGAUCGGAUGCCCGAAUGGGAUGUUGCUUCAUGGUCGAUCAUGAUCACUGCCUUCUCUCGGCAUGGCUUACUCCUACAGGCAAAAGAAGUUUUCGAUUCCAUGAGAGAGAGAGGCCUUAUAGCAUGGAACGCAAUGAUCUUAGCAUAUGCCAGAAACGGGCAUUUGGAUAAAGCAAUGCAGCUCUUUGAGCUUAUGCCAGAAAGGAGCUUAAUUUCUUGGACUACAAUUAUAUCCAAAUCCACCAGCUUGUUUCAAAUAACGACACUCUUCAGCUCCAUGCCUGAGAGAGAUCUUGUUGCUUGGAACUCUCAACUAUCAGCACUUGCCCAAGCUGGGCAUUUGCAGGAGGCGAAGCACAUCUUCUCCAACAUGCCAGAAUUUGAUGCUCUGUCUUUUACGUCCAUGAUUCAGUGCUUUGGCCAGCACGGCCUUUUGGAAGAUGCCAAGUAUUUCUUCCUCGCGCUGCCUCACAAGGAUUUGGUUGCCUGCACGGUUUUGCUUGUCGUCUUGGUGGAAAGUGGCUGCUUUCACGAGGCAAAGAAUCUGUUCGAGUCGAUGGAGUGUAUAGAUGUGGUUUCAUGCGCGGUAAUCCUGUCCGCUUACGCAGAUCACGACGACAGCAGCAUCGCGGAGGCUGAGCAAAUUUUUUACAACAUGCAGCGCCAGAACGCGUUUGCUUGCACUGCAAUGCUGCGCUUGUAUUCUCGGCGAGGACGGACUCACGACGCCGAAGCCAUAUAUUUAGGUCUGCCUGUUCAAGGCGAGCAUUUAGUCCCGUCAACCGCUCUCAUUACAGCAUAUGCUAGCAACGGGCAUCUGGAAAAGGCAAAGAAACUCUUUGAUGGAAUGAGGGAGCGAAACGAGGUUACCUGGACUGCCAUGCUGACAGGAUAUGUAAACAACCACAGGCUAGAGGACGCCCUGUGUAUUUUUGAAAAAAUGCCGGGUCACGACGAAAUACUACUGAUUGUGCUCGUGUCGGCAUAUGCCCGAAGUGGACAUAUGCUUCUUGCCAAGAGAAUUUUUGACAACUCCAAUGAAAAGAGCGCUAUUGCUUUCAAUGCUCUCUUGUGUGGUUUUUCAUUAAAUUCUCAGGUACUGGAAGCCAAAAGUGUGUUCGAUUCAAUCCAAGAAAGAAACCAAUCUUCAUGGAGUGCAAUUCUUUCUACAUAUACCCAAAACGGGCAUCUGGAUAUGGCAAAUCGGAUAUUCUUAACAAUACCGGACAAGGAUCUCAUAUCUUGGGACACAAUGCUGGCGGCAUACUCUCGGAUUGGGGCCAUUUCCAGAGCCUUGGAUGCCUUGCAAACCAUGGUCACUACUAAUACACCUGAUGAAGCUAGCUUAACAGCUUUGCUCACGUCGUGUGCUCACAAAGGCACUGCUGCCAUAGCUCGGGAUCUCUUUGUGUCUUUCCAGUUUGAUCACUCCAUCAAACCCUCAAAGCAACACUACUCGUGUAUGAUUGGUGUGCUUGUCCGGUCAGGGUAUAUCCAAGACGCUGAGAAUCUUCUGUGGGAGAUGCCAUACUACCCGGAUUCCAUGGAUUGGAAGUGCUUGCUUGGAGCUGUAGCGAGUGGAGAUGCAAUGAAAAAUGCCAUUAGUGUGGAGCCUAGUAACAGUGCUCCAUAUGUUCUUAUUGCCAAUUCUCACAUAGUUACAUAGAUUAGAUAUUUACAAGAGAUUAUAUCAAAUUACAAAUUUUCUUAGAAGGUGGCAUGGUUUUGGAUGGCUAUUUGAUCAGCAUUUCUAAAGAUCCCAUGGAAUCCACCAGCAGGCAGCUCUUCAGAAGCCACUAUCUCAAGCGUGGGCGAUUUGGCAUCCAUGGCCAAAAGCUCCGAGACACCAUUUUUCUCAUCAUGGACGUAGCUUAGGAUGACGUAUCCAUCGUCUUCUUCCUCGCCAUUCGCCACAAAGAAAGCCUCGCCACAAAACUUACCACAUUCGAAUCUCCUCGAUGCCAUAACGCAUGGCUCGUUUAGAUCCGGGUCACUUGUUCCAUCGAUUACCGCCCUGGGCAGCUGUGGAGUGUCCAGAUCGACCUUGGCCAGGCCCGAGAUUUUGGGGCAUGGCCCAUAGUAGCACAUGUAUAUGUACUGAUUCUUCCGCCCCAGGAAUUUCUGAUUCAUCUGUCCAAAAUCCAGUCCAGCCGAGCACACGUGUUGCUUCCACGACUGUCCAGAUUGAGCAUGAACCUUGACCGCACUCUGACCGCGUUGACUGCAACCUGCCGGCCUGAAGUCGUCGCUGAAGCCGAUGUUCCUCAGGUCCCGGGUCCAGACGAGCUGGGAUGUGUUCGUUGUCCGAUUUGGGUGUGUUCACUGGAAGGACACGGAGCUGCUCGAGCACACCAACCUCUGUGCGAUCCACCCGAUGAGUUGGGUACGUAUGCGUAGCUGGGCUAUGUUCGUUGUUUGAUUUGCCUGUGCUUAAUGUCUCAUGUGGUUGAUUAUAACAAUCUUGUCCAUCCCUUCCUCCCACGUGUUGAUGUAGUGGAAUGAUGUCCAAUCUGGGACGUCAAUCCAGCAAAUGCCGGAAGAUCCAACAGUCGGGAUGCAAGGGAUCACCCCGAAUCUGGGAACCUUGGCGGUAUCUCCAUCAAUGACCAGUUUGUUCUUGAGCACUACAUCCUGGAACUUCAUCACGAGCUGAUUCUCUGGAAGGAUUGUGUAGUUCUCUGUUAUCGUGAAGUCGUGAAACAAGCACGGCAGCCACACGUCGAAAUCGGGGCUCUUCCUCCCAGAAGUAGCAGAGGUGGGGAUUGAUCACUGGAUUGAAGCUAACAGCGAAGAGCUCGCUGGAGAUUGGAUCGAUCUUUGGAUGAGCGCACAUCAGCAAGAACAAUCGCUUGUUGAAGCUGUAGCGGCCCAUGGUGAUCAAAUCCCCUGCUGGGGUGAUACUCACGGCAUAUGGCAUAUCAUCCUCGGACAUAGCCAGAAUUCGGCAAAACCUCCAACGCUGGGAUGGCCUACUUCGAUCCCAUCCCGCCAAAGAUAUUGAUCAGGCCCAGACAUUGCGACCAAAUUAACUGUGCAAUUGGCAUACCUAAAUAUAUUGAUCCCUGCAAUCGAAUUUUAGAGCUCUUGAGCCAUACGCAUAGAUAAGAUCAAUAUUUUAGGGCUUACUCUGUCUUGAAUGGAAACAAUGCGCGUGAGACAAAUAAUUGUGUGUCGGCAUGCUUCUUGGAGGGGAUGAAAAGGGUAAGGUCCCAUGCUUCCUAGACGGGCACGAGUGGACCAAAAACAAAGCUAGAUAUAUUCAAUCUUGAUUCAUGUCUCCUAACAUGAAAUAUCCUCUCUGCUUUAGAAUAAUGUAAUUUUAGGUGGUCAUGCGUUCGCAAGCGAGGUUUUGCUGGAUGGAAUAAAGAACCAUAUCCAAUUUACCCACAUCCAUCCACAAUGAGAUCAAGCACCUCCUCAGCGGCGGGAGAUUGUUUGGCGUUCAAUUUGGUGGUGCAAUGUAUAUGAGGCGUGGAUGCCCAUAGGUGGCAUGGCAAGUCUUUUGCGGCUCUAGAUCCAGGAAAUGAUGCUGGUUGAUUGAAUGCCCGAGUGGGACGAGCAUGACCACUGCCUUCUCUCGGUAUGGAUUCCUCCAACAAGCAGUUAUGCCACUAACAGGCAUUUGGAUAAAGCAACGAGCUAAUGCCAGAAAGGAGCUUAAUCUCCUAGAGCACGAUUAUGUAAGGAUAUGGUCUUGUUUCUUGCCCUGGUUUGCUCUUAUUACAGCUGGAAAAGUUAAAGCAUUGAAUGUGUGAAACGACAAUGUGAACUGCCAUGCUGACAGCAUGUAAAGAACCAAAGGUUAGAGGGAGCGCUGUGAAUGUUGAAAAAAGGCCGGAUCACGUUUUGCUAAGAGAACAUUUGGAUGCGAAUUUUAGCUUGCUUGAUGUGCAUUAUAGCAUUUUUUUUCUCUUUCUGAGCAGAAUUAAGAUAGUUCUACUGCGAUUUGACUAGCGAAGAAUUGGCAGCGUGGAACUUUUGCUGUUGUUCAUCAUUUUCCUGUCUUUAUUCUCUUAAAUUUUGGUGUUCGUGACGAUUUUUGUCCCUGCUAAAGGAUAAAACUUUCUGAAGAUUCUUCCAUAGCAGUUUCACGUUAGCAGAGAGAACAUUAGGUAUAAACCAUGAAAUGUUUCAUCCAGAUACAAAAUAUUUGUUGAAGUCUGUGUCAAUUGUUGGUUGAGAGUAUGGACAAGCUUCAGCCCCUGUUAAACACUAAGUUUUCAAGCCUGUUAAUCUCUUUGCGUUAUGUUGUUAUUUUCUCAGUGACAAUUAGUACAGACCUCUUUGGAUAUAUGGACCAAGCAUAGGAUGCGGAAAGCUCCAAGACCAUGUGUUGAAGAGCCAGGCUGCUCCAGCUGACGUGGCAGUGAGAUAAUUGGGUUCUAGGCAAUGGUCUAAAUCCAAGUAGCAAUUCGCAAAAAUUCACAAAAACAAAAGAAGAAAAUCCUACUAACAAUGGUUAUCAAGAAUUCCAGGCUGUCUAUCCAUUCUAAUAAACAAAGGCACUGUGAGGGCUAGUGUACGGCUACAAUGUCAUAUACUAAUAUUGGUGUAGUGGGAUUUUGGUAGCCAUCGGAUUGGUUUCAAUCCAGACCACUCGCUUUUGUAUAUAAGCUAGAGUUCUUGGGCUAAUUAAUAUGCACAUUUCUGUAUUCCCUUUCCAUAUUCCAUGCACUCACAUUGGUGAAGGUGAGGGGCAUCGAUUCCCUUACCUAUCGUAAGCAAAGCAAUAGGUAAGGGGAUUGAUGAUUGAUCGGUUUGGGUCUAAGGACACAAUUUAUCUUGGGUACUGUAUUUCUCGUGAGGGUUUAUAAGUUGAUUUUGACAAACUUGUAAAUGUUCUAAAGUUCCUUACUUCGAAAUGUGUGAAUGAUAUGCAACGCUUUCUGAGCAAGGUGCAGUAUCUCGGUUGUUUUGUGGAUCAUCUUUCUGAUCGCAUUGCAUUGUUGCGAGCAUUGCUGAAGUCGUCAAUGUCAUUUUUCAUCUGGUCUUCAGAUUGUGAGCGGGCGUUUGUGGAUCUCAAAGUGCUGUUAACGACUCCUCCAGUUUUGGCAUAUCCUGACUACAGUCGACCUUUUAUUUUGCGCGUCGAUGCUUCUGAUAUUGGUCUUGGAGGUGUAUUAAUGCAAGAAAGUUCGAGUGUGCCUGGUCAGCGUCAUUCUAUUGCAUAUAUAAGCUGUACAUUACAACCAGCAGAGGUGAACUACUCCACGAUAGAGAAGGAGUGUUUAGCGGCAGUUUGGGGUUUCGAGAAACUUCAUGCAUAUCUACAUGGUUCUCGGACGUUACUUGAAGGUAAUCAUGUUGCCGUUCAUUAUUGAAGUGGAAGAACUUGGUUGGUUAUACUGUUUGGUGGGCUUUGAAGCUUUAGAUAUAUGAUUUUGAUGUUGUUUAUCGCUUAAGGAGUUCUAUGGCUGAUGUUGAUGCCCUUUUUGAGCUCUUCUUCCUUCUCCACUCUCUUUUCAUGUUUUUGAUAAGCUUGUUGUUUCAGCAUCUGUGGAUUUUCUAGACGAGGAUUUUGUGCCAUCGGCGGUUGAUAUACUUAACGUUCAGUGUCCUUAAGGCACAAAGCAAAAUCUACCUUCUCUUGAUGAGGUUCGCGAGGCUCAAAAGAUUGAGCCGUGGAUUCAAAGGCUUUGAAAUGCAUUUGAGAAUCCUGCAUCACUUGCUAAUGACUUGCCUUUCCAGCAUUUACAUUCUCAAUAUCAUCUUGAAGAUGGCCUUCUUUAUUUUGUGGGGAUGGAUCCUGAUGAUCAUUUACGGCUGGUGGUGCCUUCUAUCUUUAUUCUGCGGUUUUUCCAUGCCUACCAUGAUUCUCCUGUUAUAGGUGGGCAUAUGGGACAUCGUUGGGUGACUGAGAAGUUACGCAAGACUUUCUAUUGGCCAAAGAUGCGCCGUGAUGUUAUCCGGUAUGUGUGUAGUUGUGUUUGGUGCCAAGCUCGUAAUACUCCCCCUUGUACUGCGGAAGGAUGGUUUGAGUCAAUUGCAGUUAUGUAGCGCAUCUUAUCUCUCUCCCCUUAAACCAACUGGAAAAUGGGCAAUUGCUUGAUGAGAGAGCCCUUAGUGGCUAUUUUAUCCCCAUUUAUCCCCCAACUCCCCCUUGUACUGCGGAAGGACGGUUGGAGUCAAUUGCAGUUUUGUAGCGCACCUUAUCUCUCUCCCCUUAAGCUAAUUGGAAAAGGGGCAAUUGCUUGAUGAGAGAGCCCUUAGUGGCUAUUUUAUCCCCAUUUAUCUCCCAAGGUUCCAAGGAUCCACGGUGACAAUAUAUCCAAAUCUCAUCCCAUGAUCACAUGCGCUACACUCACCCCCCUUUCAGAGAUGUCAAUGUCCUCAUUGACUAUUGACUAACAACCCCUACUGAGCCAAGGGGAACCAGCACCUCCAUUUCCGCACUCAAUCUACCAGCUAUUCCAUGUGAGGCAACUAGUCAUCCACCCGUACCGCAGUCCCACGGUGGAUACCUUCGUCCGUGGAUACACCACACAAGAGGAAGGACGUACGCAUGGAUGCCCAAUACGUACGAUUUCAAAUUUAGGGGUAGGAAUAUACCUUGCUCAAGGGUAUAUUAUACUUUUAAGUAAUCACUAAUCAAUGGGAAUCGAACCCGUGCCAUUUGCUUCGAUACCAACUGUAGCGCACCUUAUCUCUCUCCCUUUAAGCCAACUGGAAAAGGGGCAAUUGCUUGAUGAGAGAGCCCUUAGUGGCUAUUUUAUCCCCAUUUAUCCCCCAAGGUUCCAAGGAUCCACAGUGACAAUAUAUCCAAAUCUCAUCCCAUGAUCACAUACGCUACAAGUUUCCCGUCCAUUUGAGUUGGUGGCAUUUGAUCUCAUAGGACCUUUUCCACGGUUGAUUGCUGACAAUGAGUAUGUUAUUAUUGCUUCUGACUACUUGACUCGUUGGGUGGAAGUUGGUGCUCUUGCUAGUGCUUUUGCAACUGAUGUUGGAUACUUCCUCCUCAAUCGAGUGGUGUUCCAGCAUUCUUGUCCAGAGCAAAUUCUUUUGGAUAAUGGUCUUGCAUUUAUGGUUGAGGCAUUUCAUAUUUUGACAUCUCAGUUGGGGAUACGCUACACUUUCACGAGUGUUUAUCAUCCACAAUCAGACAAUCUGGUGGAAUGGCUCGUUCGGAUAUUCAAAGGGAUGAUAGUGAAGUAUAUGAACUUUUAGCAUUCGGAUUGGGAUGGUUAUUUGCCGUCUCUUUGGUAUGCCUAUGUCAUAGGGGUGUAGAGUUCUAUUAGUGCUUCACCAUACAAACUUAUAUAUGGUCAUGAUCCAAUAUUACCAAUGGAGCUAGGUUUACCUUUGCGAUUGCCACAAGCUCCUGAUGCUAGGUCGUGGGAUCAAUAUUUGAUGAGCAUUCUUCCACUUGUCUAAGCAGAGUUUGCCGAACACUUAGGCCGCGUACAAGUGGGACAAUAACGGUGCUACAACUCCCAUCAUCAUCCACCAGCAGAGUACAAAGUGGAUGAUUUAGUGUUAGUCCGUUUUCCCCAUAUUACGGUACAUUGUUUAUCUAAGGGGCUCUUUGCACAAUGGAAAGGACCGUAUCGGGUGUUACAGCAAGUUGGACUGCAAGUUUAUGAACUUUGGCAUGACGUUCAACAGGCUGAUCCUCUGAAGAUUGUGCAUGUGCAGCGGUUAAAACGCUUCAUACAAAGGGAUCAAGAGUAAUUAAUACCAUCUACAGAUCCGCCAAUGCCUCCUCCUAACGUUCCUCCAAAUCCCAGCAUGUCUACAAGAGAACUCUGAUGGCCUUCCAUUAUUCUGAGAGCAGAGGAUGAUGUGAGGGCCAAGUAUACGGCUACGAUGCGGUAUAUUAAUAUUAGCGUAAUAAGAUUUUAGUAGCUGUCAGAUUGGUUUCAAUCCGGACCAUUCAUUCUUGUAUAUAAGCUAAGGUUUUUAAGCUAAUUGUAUUCCCUUUCCACACUCACAGCACUAAAUUUAGAGAGAAAAAAUGUUGUAAUGUAUAUAAUUUAAGAUUAAUCUAAAUGAUGAUAAAUAUAUUAGGAUACACAGGAGAUGCCGGUGUGUUAAAUUAAAGGAUAUUCUAGGUACCCAUCUUGCAAACCAAAAUUUAGCUUUGGACGAUCAUCUUAUUGAAAGAAAUUCAGGCAAGCAUUCUUUUGAUUGCCUAAAGUUUGCUCUUUUCUAGAGAGAGUUUUGGUCUAAUGCUUCAGUGAGACCAUGUAAACCGUCUGAAUAAAUGAAUGAAUUAAUGAGUGGAAAAAAGAGCAGAGAAACAACUUGAACGUCAAGGUAAAAAAUAAACACUUCCUCUCUUUACUUGGGUAUCUUUUUUUUUCUUGCCUGCUCUCAAGCUCGUCCGGCUUGUCCCCAGCAGCUCCAGGGUACUCUUCUGAAGCCACCAGCUUGUAACACCAAGAAGACGUUGUGUGUUGCCUGCCAACAAUUCUCUCUCUCCUAGCUUCUUGGCUGUGUUAGAAUCCGCCUCUAAUCUUCUUCUAUGCUCUCUUAGCUCUUUGUUGUGGUUGUUGCCACCACCAUUUGCAAAAUCAUACAAAAGGAUUCUCAUUUAACAUAUAGCUUUCUAAGCUUUGUGGAGCUAGCCAGCACAAGUUACCAGAAAUCUUUCUUGGCCACACCAACUCACUGGAUACCUCCUUCAACAGUUCUCUCAUGCUAGGAUCUGUGUUUUCACAGUUGAUCAAAAGCAAGUCAAACAUUUCUUUCCUACAACACUACAAAGGGCUAAGCUUGGCAUCGAGCCUCACCACUUGAAAAUCAUAGUUCCAUUUUCCACAGUUCAAACUUUGAGCUAAACUUAUAACUGGAUAGGGUCAUAUUUAAAAGAUAUAACAAUAAAGUAUCUUAUUAUGGUGGUAGUGAUAUCACAUCAUCGCUAUUGCGAUAGCUCGUCCCCAGCCGCUUAACCCUUCUCUUGGUCUCUCCUGGUAUGCUCUCGUCUCACAAACUGCUGCAGAACAUGUUACUACGAUCGAUUGAUGAUCAAAUUGCAAUAUAUCCCACAUGCUUGUAAGUAUACCACCUCGCACACAAGACAUAUAUCCCAAGGUUGAUAGAAUUGUCAGCAGCCAGUAGAAGUACUCAAUGUGAGCCCUGUUGAGAUUGUCAUUGAUCCAGUUGCCGUCAACGCGGCCACCUUUUGUACUUGUAAACUUGACCACCAUCUCCACGAGCAAGCUGCUAAUGAAGCUCCCGAUGGAGAUGGUGCUGAGAUAGAGCGCCACUCCAAUGCUUCGCAUGGAAUCCGGGGCUUGAUCGUAGAAGAACUUGUUCUGGCCGACGGAGAUGAAAACCUCGCAAACUCCCGUGAGCGCGUACUGGGACAAGAGCCAGAAUGCGCUCAUCGGGACCGUCGACUGGGGGCGAUCCAAAACCGUGUUGCCUAGCCACUCGCAAGCGCUUCAUCUCCACCAGCGCGGCGAUGGCGAUGGAGACCGUGGAGAUGACCUGGCCGAUCCCAAUGCGCUGGAGCAUCGUGAUCCCUCGCUCGUUCCCCGUGAUCCGGCGCGCGAAUGGCACAAAGUAGCGGUCGUAGAGCGGCAUGAUGAUGCAAAUGGUGAGGGUGAUGAAGAGCGUGAAGGAGGCGGCUGGGAUCUGGAAUCGCCCCAGAUGCCGCUCCAUGGUGUCGCCCUGGUUGAGGAAUAAGGUGCCCACCUGGGCGAAGACGCUGCUAAAGAUGAGGUUCGUGAACCAGAUGGGCAUCACUCGCACUAGGAGCUUCACUUCCUCGACUUGCGUCACUGGGCACAGGCUCCACGGCUUCACUUCCUUGCUCUGCAGAUCCUUCUCGCUCACCACCGCCGCCUUGUUCAGGAAUCUGCUCGCGAUCAAUCGUAGUAAGCUAAGAUUGUUCUUCUGGACUUACGUGAAUUCUUUACUCCUGGGAUGUGUGGGAACUGCGCCUCCUUGUCGCUCAGCUCGUACAGCUUCUCAUUGUCGUCUGGAACGCUCACAUUCCACUUCCUGGUGGCCGCCACCAGGACCUGAGCGACGCGGGUGAAGGAACUUCCAGCGGGCUUUUGGGUGCGAUAGUUUGAUCUCCCGGAGAAGAAGAGGAGGGUGGCGAGGGCGACGACAGCGGUAGCGCCGCCUCAUCCCCACGUCCAUCCGUAAGUCACCUGGAUGUAGACGAGGGCAGUGACCGAGAACUUUGAUUGUUUUCGCAGGUAGAGAGCAAGAUGGAAGCCAAAGAGGAAAAGAAGCGAUUGAAAGCACAAGUAAAAGCCGAGGAGAAGCAGAAAAGGAAGGCACUGAAGAAGAAAAUGAAAGAGAACGGUGAAGCUGGCGAGCCAGAAGCAAAGAGAGCUGAGCGAAGCAGAAGAGCUGCCGAGGAGGAUGACGAUGGAAACAAAGGAGCUUCCGAUGAGGAUGACAGGUAUAGCAGGAGGAAAAGAUCUGCCGAGGACAGCGACGGGGAAGACAGGCAUAGAAACAAAAUAGGUGCUUCUUCGCGGGAUGAUCGAGAAGAUCGCAGCAAAAGAAUUCCCGAGAGAGACGAGCAAGACAGGUACAGAAGCAACCAAGUUCGCGAGGACGAUGAUAGGAGAAGUAGAAAGCGGGAGAGACACGAUAGCCCAGACGUGAAUGAUCGGCAUCGCAGGCACGAAGACAGGCACAGGGACAGGGAGGAAAACCGCGACUCCGGCAAGCCACCGCUGCCGAGGAAGAAAGUCCAGCUGAGCGAGGAGGAGAGAUGCAGCAGGACGCGGAGCUCCACGAGGAGCAGCGGUGGCAGCGGAUCAAACGCGCCUCGGCGAGCGACGCUGUCCAGGAGGAGAAGGACUCGAUCAAGUCGGGGAAGAACUUCCUGGACGAGACGAACAGGAGUGUUUAUGGCACCGAGAAUGGAGGCAGUGCCUCGGUCGCGGAUACUUUGCAUCGGCGAUCGCACUACCGCGAGAAGUUCACGCGUUUAGGCGAUCAUAGAGAUGAUCGCGUAGAGAUGGCAAAGAAACCUUUUGGGUGUAAACCAUCAUCGACUAAAGAACCAUUUGAAGUUCUUUUAGUAUGAGAGGUCAUGGAAUUUAUUGACAAUUGGAAGAAUCAUCGAUGAAUGGAGCCUUUUCAUUUCUAUCGCUAGUAUCUAGUGCCAGGGAUGAGAGUAUCGAAGAAGUGGAGCCUUGGGUCUUGAUGCUGUGGGAUACAACCACUGCCCAUCACUCCUCCCCCUUGGUUCUUGUGAUCCUGAGCUUGGAUCUUGCUGCUUGCCCCUUGGUUGUGCGCUCCUGACGAGGGAUCCUGGUGGAAUUGCUCUUGAUCUGGCGAAUUCGCGGAGGAGGAAGGCGAGUCGUGAUGGAAGUGAUGGACUCGAGCCUCGUAGAUCGCUGCAGUGGCCGUGGCAGCCGCCAUAGUUGCCAUAGAUUUGAAGUAAGCCAUAGAUCCUGUAAUCUAUAGCAUAGAAUUGACGCGAAUUGGAGGAGAGGAUCUGGAUGCUAGCGCUACUGGCUACCGGAUUGAUCGAUCGAUCGAUCGAAUUGGAGGGAGCGGAGAUGGGAGGGGAUGAGAUCGCAGAGCACAGGCUGUGCCACCAAACGAGGAAUGGUACUUUUAUUGCGUCAAUCGAAAGCGUGGAGCCAGGCGUGGUCAAGAACACACGCUAGUGGCAGCGAAUCUAUGCAAGCCACGUGUCUUUUUGUGCGUACGCGGCGAGAUUCCAGCCCCUUGACGCGCCAGUUUUUUCUAGAAAUUGAAAAGCGUCUUGAUUGGAUUUUUCCCAAUCAAACUUCGAGGAUUUGAUUGAGAGUGAUCAGCAUCAAUUGGAUUGGAUCAUCCAGGACCCUCUUGUGAAAUUCUGCUCUAUGCUGGUUUUAUCUCUGGAUUGAGAUAGUUAUCCUUACCUCAAAACCAAGUUUUCAGAAUUGGUUGUACAAGUGAUUGGUGUGCGGUUUGCUGUUUGGAUCAUUUCUGAGGGAUUUCGCUUUGUGUAGAACAGUGUGCCCCUGGAAAGUCUGAAAUUUCUUAGUUUUG
rnacentral:lncRNA from 1 species